rnacentral:rRNA from 1 species
UUAGCGAGUUGCAAAACUCCCUAAACCACUGUGAAUUAUACCUUCUGUACGCUCUCCGUUGCUUCGGCGGAUGCGGCUUUACCUCAGGGUCCUGCUGCGCCUGCCGGGGGAACGAGGGCCCCUAACUCUGUUUUUUUUGGCCCCUCUGAGUACUUCUUCCAAUAAGUUAAAACUUUCAACAACGGAUCUCUUGGUUCUGGCAUCGAUGAAGAACGCAGCGAAAUGCGAUAAGUAAUGUGAAUUGCAGAAUUCAGUGAAUCAUCGAAUCUUUGAACGCACAUUGCGCCCGCCAGCAUUCUGGCGGGCAUGCCUGUCUGAGCGUCAUUUCAACCCUCGAACCCCCCGUGGGCUCGGUGUUGGGGUCUUUUCCACGGCUGCCGUGGGCCCCUAAAACCAGUGGCGGUCUUGCCGAGAUCUCCAGGUGCAGUACAUAAUCUCACCCGGUUUGAUCUAGCGAGUGCCUGCCGUAAAACAGGCCCCUGGCCACUCACUAAGGUUGACCUCAGAUCAGGUAGGAAUACCCGCUGAACUUAAGCAUAUCAAUAAGCGGAGGAAAAGAAACCAACAGGGAUUGCCCUAGUAACGGCGAGUGAAGCGGCAACAGCUCAAAUUUG